rnacentral:lncRNA from 1 species
CCGGAGCAGAGGACCAUGCCACAGUUUCAACCUUACAACCGUUUGCUAAAUCCGAAGCUUGCCAUAUUUCUUGCAAUACAAGAUAGCUAAAAUUGCCGUUGGACGCCGUUGUAUUUGUUCUACAAAAAGUUGUUGGAAUGUAUUGUGACGAGUUGAUAGGAGUUCGACAGUUGACAUAGUUGAUGCUAUUGUUAUUAUGAAUCAAUUGGAAGAUUUGUAUGCCUCCGUAGUUUGCUCUGUAAUCAGGGAAAACAGAGCAAUUUUCGUUCUGAUCUUUUAGGCCAGGAUCAAGUAGCCUUAUCAUGUAGCUUGAGUAGUUAAUUUCCUGCACGUAGAAUUUUCUGGACUUGUAAGUAUACAAGGUUUGAUUGUUCUGGCAAUUAAGUUCGUUGCCACAAUGCUCGGGAUCAGACUUCAAUCGGAAAGGAAAUUCUAUUUCUAGUAUAUCACCACAGGAAGAAGGGAUUCAUUGAGAAGUAGUAGCACUCUAGGCUAGAGAGAUUGUUUCUGAAUGUAACAAAUAGAAAAACACUAGCAAAAGACGAAUUUCUUAUCGACAUGUUGUCAAUAGAAUGGAUCUUUUUUGUUGAUGUGGUUUAAAAUAGUGAUCAAGUUAUCUUGUUUUUUUAAUAAAAAGAUAUGACC